UGGGGAAUAUUGCACAAUGGGCGCAAGCCUGAUGCAGCCAUGCCGCGUGUAUGAAGAAGGCCUUCGGGUUGUAAAGUACUUUCAGCGGGGAGGAAGGUGUUGUGGUUAAUAACCACAGCAAUUGACGUUACCCGCAGAAGAAGCACCGGCUAACUCCGUGCCAGCAGCCGCGGUAAUACUGAGGGUGCAAGCAUUAAUCGGAAUUACUGGGCGUAAAGCGCACGCAGGCGGUCUGUCAAGUCGGAUGUGAAAUCCCCGGGCUCAACCUGGGAACUGCAUCCGAAACUGGCAGGCUUGAGUCUUGUAGAGGGGGGUAGAAUUCCAGGUGUAGCGGUGAAAUGCGUAGAGAUCUGGAGGAAUACCGGUGGCGAAGGCGGCCCCCUGGACAAAGACUGACGCUCAGGUGCGAAAGCGUGGGGAGCAAACA
rnacentral:rRNA from 1 species